rnacentral:sRNA from 1 species
GCCGGGCAUGGUGGCACAUGCCUGUAAUCCCAGUGGCUUGGGAGACUGAGGCAGGAGGAUCUGGAGUUCAAAGCCAACCUCAGCAAAAGUGAGGAGUUAAGCAACUCAGUGAGACCCUAUCUCUA